UCAUAAUAUUAAAAAGUCUUACUCGUUAAAGACAGGGGUCUAUGUUAAGGGUAUGAUGCCCAUGCUUACGGGGUUGAAACUACAACAUAUAGGAACACAUCAUAGAGGCUUGGGUAAGUU